GGUGUAGCUCAGUGGUAGAGCCUUGCUUCUUAUGCACAGAGUCCUGGGUUAGAUCCCCAGCACC
rnacentral:tRNA from 1 species